rnacentral:rRNA from 1 species
GACGAACGCUGGCGGCGUGCUUAACACAUGCAAGUCGAACGAUGAAGCUGGAGCUUGCUCUGGUGGAUUAGUGGCGAACGGGUGAGUAACACGUGAGUAACCUGCCCUGGACUCUGGGAUAACCCCGAGAAAUCGGAGCUAAUACCGGAUAGGACCUCGGAUCGCAUGAUCUGGGGUGGAAAGUUUUUCGGUCUGGGGUGGACUCGCGGCCUAUCAGCUUGUUGGUGAGGUAAUGGCUCACCAAGGCGUCGACGGGUAGCCGGCCUGAGAGGGUGACCGGCCACACUGGGACUAAGACACGGCCCAGACUCCUACGGGAGGCAGCAGUGGGGAAUAUUGCACAAUGGGCGCAAGCCUGAUGCAGCAACGCCGCGUGCGGGAUGACGGCCUUCGGGUUGUAAACCGCUUUUAGUAAGGAAGAAUGGCAUCGGUUCGAAGAGGGUUGAUGCGUGACGGUACCACCAGAGGAAGCACCGGCUAACUCCGUGCCAG